rnacentral:rRNA from 1 species
UACGAAGGGGGCUAGCGUUGCUCGGAAUCACUGGGCGUAAAGGGCGCGUAGGCGGCGUUUUAGGUCGGGGGUGAAAGCCUGUGGCUCAACCACAGAAUGGCCUUCGAUACUGGGACGCUUGAGUAUGGUAGAGGUUGGUGGAACUGCGAGUGUAGAGGUGAAAUUCGUAGAUAUUCGCAAGAACACCAGUGGCGAAGGCGGCUCACUGGCCCGGAACUGACGCUGAGGCGCGAAAGCGUGGGGAGCAAACAGG